GACACUGAGCUAGGGUGGCCAUGCCUCGCCCUGACCUCAGGCCCAUGGGCCCCGUGGAUGAGCAGGGGCAUGCAGGACAGGCCUGCAGGGCAGGGCAGGGCAGUAGGGUUUUCAUCGGCAAAGCCCCGUGAUCCUCACAGUAGCCCCAGGAGUUGGACCAGCCUGGACCCUUACCCCAUUUUACAGAGUCUCGCUCUGUUGCCCAGGCUGGAGUGCAGGGGUGUGAUCUCAGUUCGCUGCAACCUCUGCCUCCCAGGUUCAAGUGAUUCUUCUGCCUCAUCCUCCUGAGUCGCUGGGAUUACAGGUGUGAGGUAUCAUGCCUGGCCCAAGAUUUACUUUAUUUGAUAUUAAUAUAGCCACAUCUGCUUACUUUUAAAAUUAAUGUCUGCAUGGCAUAUUAUUGCUAUUCCUUAAUUUCCAAUUUACCUCUAUCAUUAUAGCUUACCCACUGAUGUAGCUUUAGCAGCUGCUGUCCCAGUUCUCAAAUAUCCAGGCUAGCUUGGUGGCCCCUUUAUCCAUGGGUCAUUUAUUUAAUCCAAUCUGCCAAUCCCUGCCUUUAAUUAGUGUUUUUAAACCAUUUACAUUUAAUGUAAUUAUUCAUAGUUUAAUCUGAUGUCUGUUAUUUUAUUUUUUGUCUUCUCCUUAUUUUCUGUUUCUUUUUUGCUCUUGUCUUUCUUGUCUUGUUUUUUCUCUUCCCUUUAACAUUUUUUAGAUCUCCUUUUGAUUAAUUUAUAGAGUUUUUGAUUAUAUCUCUUUGUAUGAACUUUUUAGUUAUUGCUCAAAUAUCACAUUUUAUAUUUAUAACACAGGCUACUGAUGUUGACAUUUUAACAGUUCAAGUGAAGUGUAGAAAUCUUACCCAUUAUCCCUCCCUAUUAAUAAUAUAAUUGUCUUAAAUGUCUUUUCCUACAUAUAUUUAUAACAAGUAUAUGAGAUAGCCUUACAAUUUUUGCUUUAACUAUCAAUCAUGCAUUAGGAAACUCAAGAAGAAAGGGAAAUGUAUUUAAUUCAUAUUUUCACUCUUUUUAAAAUGAAUUUCAUAAAAUCUAGAUUGGCAAAUUUAGAAAUAAAAUUUCUAAAUGUU
rnacentral:lncRNA from 1 species